rnacentral:rRNA from 1 species
UGGGGAAUUUUGGACAAUGGGCGAAAGCCUGAUCCAGCAAUGCCGCGUGUGUGAAGAAGGCCUUCGGGUUGUAAAGCACUUUUGUCCGGAAAGAAAUCCUUGGCUCUAAUACAGUCGGGGGAUGACGGUACCGGAAGAAUAAGCACCGGCUAACUACGUGCCAGCAGCCGCGGUAAUACGUAGGGUGCAAGCGUUAAUCGGAAUUACUGGGCGUAAAGCGUGCGCAGGCGGUUUGCUAAGACCGAUGUGAAAUCCCCGGGCUCAACCUGGGAACUGCAUUGGUGACUGGCAGGCUAGAGUAUGGCAGAGGGGGGUAGAAUUCCACGUGUAGCAGUGAAAUGCGUAGAGAUGUGGAGGAAUACCGAUGGCGAAGGCAGCCCCCUGGGCCAAUACUGACGCUCAUGCACGAAAGCGUGGGGAGCAAACAGGAUUAGAUACCCUGGUAGUCCACGCCCUAAACGAUGUCAACUAGUUGUUGGGGAUUCAUUCCUUAGUAACGUAGCAACGCGUGAAGUUGACCGCCUGGGGAGUACGGUCGCAAGAUU